UGCUCCCUUCGUCUAGCGGUUAGGACGCGGCCCUCUCAAGGCUGAAACACGAGUUCGAUUCUCGUAGGGAGCGCCAA
rnacentral:tRNA from 1 species